GCCAUCUUGAUGAGGUCAAAACAAACCGUGUGGAUGGUGGACCGGUGAAUGUUCACAUUAUGUGUUUCUAUGUAUAUUUUGAUUACUAAAGAAAUACGUGGAUAUUUGUUCUAAGCAGAUGUUUUCAGUUAGGCUACACCUUUCUCGGAGUGUAUGCGGACGUUGCACCGCAGUGGAGAUGUUUAUCUAACGUUAGGUCAGUUAACACCAAGGGGGCAGCGAACGUUCUGAGAGUGUAGACAGUAUGGCGGCCGCCAUGCUAACGAGAAGACCGUGGCUAGCUGGCCAUUCCAUUGAAUCCUAUGGGGCGUAAGCGCCACUUUGACAUCAAAUUACGUUAGAGCUGAAGCGUUUUAAGCCUUUAUAUGAACAUUUUCUAUUGUCGGGGUACAUACUACAUUGUGAAAUUGACAUAAUAAUCUCGUAACUGUCUUAUCGGCUGAGUAAUUAACGUUUUUCGAAAGUCAAUGCUAAAGUGUUAAAGGCGCAUGCGUCCAGCGAGAGUAAAGCGUCGCCAUAGGUCAGACUCGGUCAGACUACGUGCCUACGUCACAUGUACCGACAUCUGAGCCUGCGCAGAGACAAGAAGACCUAAAAAAAAACCGUUGAGAUUUGCUUCCUCGGUCUCUGCUGCCGUCUACGUGAUAGCUCUGUCCAUAUCUUUUACUGGCUAGCUAGAUGGUAUCCAGUCAUAGAAAGAGGCAGUGUUUGCUAAGGUUAGUUGUGGUAGCAAUGUAUAUCGAAGACGAACCAAACUACUUGAGCCAGAAUUACAGAAAUGUCUGUUAGAAAAGAGGUUUUCCAAGCAAAAGUUCUUCGAAAACUUUACCCAGCACCUGCUCAACUAAAGCUUGAGAAAGUUGUCUACCCACCUUCUACUACUGAAGUUAACUCAAUUGCUAACAAAGAUGGUGUCAUUGCAACAAGCAACACACCCGUCACAGGAAAUGGUGAUGGGGAAAUACCUACGCUUGCAGGUAGAAGGCUUUACACCGUCCUUCCACCUCCAGAGGGAUACAGAGGUGAUGCUGAGUUGCCAGUGGUAAGCCCUGCACCAGAGAGUCCAAGCAAAGGGAGUGAACUGAGUGAGGAGGCCGACGACAUCCAAGAGGAGCAGCCGAGGAGGAAGAGGAGGAGGAGGAAGAAGAAGGCCUCAGAGGUCCCAGCAGAUCGAUCCGAGGGGACGGAGGGUGUCGCGGGGUCAGAGGUCAACGGCGCCCAGACGACGAGCACUACAGAGCGGCUGAGCCGCAACAAGAAGCGGAAGCUGAAGAAGAAGCGGCACAAAGAGAAGCUGCGGAGCCUUGGCCUGGCGCCCCAGGCCUCCGCCGUCGAGUUCACCUACCAGCACGCGGAGGGCGCGGAGGCAGAGGAGGACAGCGCAGAAGACGCGGAGGAGGAGGAAGAGUUUAAUGACGAGCAUGCCGCCGAAGUGCUGGAAUUCCUGGAGACCACACUGCAGACCUACAUCUCGGAUCAGGAGGCCUCUGCUGUCUGCACUCUCUUUCACUAUUGGAUCACAGACAUUUUCCCUUUGGGUGUGGAAGUCCUGAAGACCUGAGACAGCAGAUUCACCCGCUAACAAGGGUUCUUCUCUAUGAGGAGAAAACAAAAGUCAAGGAGUAUGACCUGACAGAGGAUUACUCAAAUAAUGUAUUGAAGCCAAGUGGAUCAAGUUCCGGUGCAAACAUCUUGAGAGUUUUCCAGAUCAAACUGCGCUUCCCCCUCCACCCUUUUGUGCAUGGGUCACCCUUUUGCUGGUUUAUCCGUUGCCAGUUAAGGCUCUGGCCCGGUGGGGGCUUAUGUAACCAAGGAGAGGCUUUAUAAGGGCCCCGGGCAGGUCAGCAGCCAGUAGACAAGCUCCAGCCACCGGGUCCUUCUCCUCAGGCUAGCCCUCUCUCUUAUCCGCCAGGCCCAGCAGUGUGUGGGAGAGAGAGAGGGGGUUUGACGGGGGGGAAAAAAAGGAUCUCUGAAGGAAGUUUGGCACCUUGUGGACCUUCAAGCACAUCGGCACCCUGGAGCCGUCG